UUUACCAAUUAUGUUUGAUCAAAGGAGGCCUUUUGUCUACUGUUUUUCGAUUGUUCAAUCGUAGGAUCUGUGAUACCACGGUGAUACCCAUGAGUAUGUCGCCAACAUGUGCUUGAAACAAAGCAGUCAAUGUUCAGCUGGAAGACUCUGAAGAGGAAUGUACUUAAAUCCAAGUCUAAAGCACCAGAUAUGGAAACACAAAGAGAAAGAAGUUUGCCCUUAUUGUCAGUGGAGUUGGCGCUAGUUCUCUGCAAGCUGCUUUUGUUACUUGUUUGAUGUUAAGCAAUGCAGAUUAAUAGCUGGACCAUGAUAAAUCAUCACCCAUACAUGAAAUUGAAAAUCAAAUUUUAAGUAAAGUGAACUUUCCUAUGAUGACAGCCCAAUUUGAGCCAACUUGAUUGCAUACCAAAGCCCUAUCUGCUGCAGCCAGCUACAGAAAAACAAACAAGUACCAGGGUGCAACGAGUCCAAUUGUCCUGUUGGCUGGUACCAACACUGCAAUGCUGGCCUAGCAAUUAGUUGCUGGAAAACAUCAUCUCAGCUCAAUCAAUGGCCAACAUUUUCUUGUCUAGUCCAAAAUGGGCGAUUCACCAACUGUAGGAUAGCCAGCAGCUAGGGUAAACCAUUGAUGCAGCUGACAUUCAAAACAUAUAACGGCGUAGAUGCUUCCUUUUGCCAACCGGCCAGAAGACCUGGACCUCAAUGGAUGGCACAACGCCACAACUGCUACAUCUUCCACGGUGGAGGUUGCUUCCCCCGCCGUCACUCCGACUUUUAUGGAAACUGUUACGGCUUCUGCUGUCGUUGUUACGACACUUGCUGUAAUUACAAUUGCUGGCGCUGACAAGCAGGUGAAUCGGGUACUGUUACUCCUGACUUUGUUCUGCAAGCCCCCCACAAUUUAUUGAACGGAGGACAUUUUCAUCUACACUGCUCGGAAUAUUGAACCACCUGGCACGUCGUUGUCCUCCAAAAUUAUCAACAAUGGAAUGCCCGUUAACAGCCUAACAAUGCAGCUGUUGACUUUCCUGAGAUUGGAGGACAAAAAGAGACGUGCAAUGAAGUCUGCUCGACGAGCUUAAGGUUCUUGACUGAAACGAUGGAGCAGGAAUGGUGAGACGCUGAGACCAUACAAGACUGCUUUGAGACAUUGUUUUUAUUCUUCUGGUGUCAUUUUGUAGAAUAUGUUUUGUUUACUGGAUAUGUGAGUGAAGUAGAAAGGACAAGGAAAUCCAUCCUGGGAUAAAGGGAGAAGUGCAUGGACAGAAUAGCGCAGAGUAGUAAAUCUACAUAAUGAAAACAAAAUUGAUGAAAGUACAUUAUUGUGUUGAUACUACGAGCUUUAAUUCAACUGGGUAGUGUUAAAUUAUCUUGUGUGUAACAUAAGUUAUUCAGUGAUAACUAGCCAUUUGAGCCCUACGAUAGUUUUGUUGUUAAAUAAAUGAACUUUAUAAAAUAAUA